AGCAGCCGCGGUAAUUCCAGCUCCAAUAGCGUAUAUUAAAGUUGUUGCAGUUAAAAAGCUCGUAGUUGAAUUUUGGAUUCUUCCAAUUGGUCCAUCUUUUAGAUGAGUACUGGUUGUGUGGGGUCUAUCCGCCUGGUGAUACGUAAUGUCUUUUAUUGGAUGUUGCGGGUAGUCAGGACCUUUACCUUGAAAAAUUAGAGUGUUUAAAGCAGGCUUAUGCCGGAAUACAUUAGCAUGGAAUAAUAGAAUAGGACGAAGUUGUUUUAUUUUGUUGGUUUCUAGGACAACCGUAAUGAUUAAUAGGGAUAGUGGGGGCAUUAGUAUUCAAUUGUCAGAGGUGAAAUUCUUGGAUUUAUUGAAGACUAACUACUGACGAAAGCAUUUGCCAAGGAUGUUUUCAUUAAUCAAGGACGAAAGUUAGGGGAUCGAAGACGAUCAGAUACCGUCGUAGUCUUAACCAUAAACUAUGCCGACUAGGGAUCGGGCGAUGUUGUUUCCAUGACUCG
rnacentral:rRNA from 1 species